rnacentral:rRNA from 1 species
GAUGAACGCUAGCGGGAGGCUUAACACAUGCAAGUCGAGGGGCAUCUCUGGUAGCAAUACUGGAGGCGACCGGCGUACGGGUGAGUAACGCGUAUGUAACCUACCCUUUACCGGGGGAUAGCUCCCGGAAACGGGAAUUAAUACCCCAUGAGGUUUCGGAGGCGCAUGCUUUCGGGAUCAAAGCUACGGCGGUAAAGGAUGGGCAUGCGUAGCAUUAGCUAGUUGGCAGGGUAACGGCCUACCAAGGCUACGAUGCUUAGGGGACCUGAGAGGGUGUACCCCCACACUGGUACUGAGACACGGACCAGACUCCUACGGGAGGCAGCAGUGAGGAAUAUUGGUCAAUGGGCGGAAGCCUGAACCAGCCAUCCCGCGUGCAGGAAGAAGGCGCUAAGCGUUGUAAAACUGCUUUUUGCAGGGGGAAGAAACUUCCGGUUGCGACCGGGACUGACGGUACCUCGUGUAGAAUAGACACGUCGGUACCUAACGUCCGUCGACCGCGACGACCGCCGGUAACGGUAAAGUACGUUACCUACUACUCGUA